AGUCAAUCUACUGAUGAGCCUUAUCGCCAAAGAAGGGGGAGCCUACUGAAGUUUCAAAAAAAGGAAUUGAGAAUCAUCAUAGGCUGUGUUUUAAGUGAAGGAGAGAGACAGGACUUGCUAGGAAUUGAAUCAAUAGGCUCAGGGGCAUGCCCCGUAUCCGCUGCAAGAGAAUCCGCUCUUUGACACAUAUAUUAGACCGUAGCACAAGAGACGAUUCGCUCUAGUCCCGUAACCAAGCGAAAGAAG
rnacentral:lncRNA from 1 species